GAUGAACGCUAGCGGAAGGCAUAAUACAUGCAAGUCGAACGGAUGUAGCAAUACAUUAGUGGCGCACGGGUGCGUAACGCGUAUGCAACCUACCUUCAUCAGGGGGAUAACUACCCGAAAGGGUGGCUAACACCGCAUAAUACUAUUGAGUGGCAUCACUUGGUAUUUAAAUCGGAGGAGGCUGAAGAUGGGCAUGCGUCUGAUUAGCUAGUUGGUGUGGUAACGGCGCACCAAGGCGACGAUCAGUAGGGGAACUGAGAGGUUGGUCCCCCACACUGGCACUGAGAUCCGGGCCAGACUCCUACGGGAGGCAGCAGAAGGAAAUAUUGGUCAAUGGUGGGAACACUGAACCAGCCAGUCCGCGUGCAGGAAGAAGGGUCUCUGACUUGUAAACUGCUUUAGCAAGGGAAGAAAAUGCUCAUGCGUGAGAAAUUGACGGUACCUUGAGAAUAAGCACCGGCUAACUACGUGCCAGCAGCCGCAGUAACAC
rnacentral:rRNA from 1 species